ensembl:rRNA 5S_rRNA 5S ribosomal RNA
UGCCACAGCCAUAUGACCCUGCAGCCCAAGACCGGUUAUUUACUGAAGCUAAGCAUGGCUGAGCCUUGUUCAGAACCUGGAUGGGAGACCGCAUGGAAAAACUAGGUUGCUGUUGGAU